GACGAACGCUGGCGGCGUGCUUAACACAUGCAAGUCGAGCGGAAAGGCUCUGCGUUUGCGCGGUGCUCGAGUGGCGAACGGGGGAGUAUAACGUGUGUAAACUGCCCUUGACUUUGGGAUAACUUCUGGAAACUGGGGCGCUAACCGGGUAGGAUCUCCUUCUGCAUGGUGGGUGUGGGAGAGUUGCGGCGGUUCGGGAUGGACUCGCGGCUUAUCAGCUUGUUGGUGAGGUGGUGGCUUACCAAGGCUUUGACGGGUAGCCGGACUGAGAAGGUGACCGGCCACAUUGGGCCUGAGGUACGGCCCAGAGGCCUACGGGGGGCAGGAGUGAGGGACAUUGCACGAUGGGCGGAAGGCUGAUGCAGCAUCUCCGCGUCCGGGAUCACGGCCUGCGGGUUGUAAACCGCUUGCGCCUGUAAAGAAGAGUAAGUGACGGUAACGAGUAAGAAAGCACCGGCUAACUACGUG
rnacentral:rRNA from 1 species